CAUCAGUAACAACGAAUUUUCUACUUUUUAUGCUAAUGCUAAUAUUCCUGGUCUCAUAUACAGCAAAUCCGAGUGGUCAACUAUGUUCAACCAAGCAAUGACUCUCAUUGACACAAAUGGAAAUAAUCAAUUGGAAAUUGGAGAAUUUCGUACAUUAGCAAAUAUGGGAAUGGGAAAAUAGAGCAAAGGUUUCAUCAACUGAGCACUGCCUUCAACUUUAACUAGUACACCGUCUGCAGAUUUGAAAAAAAUAAAUAAUCAUUUAAAGUC